rnacentral:tRNA from 1 species
GACAACGUGGCCGAGUGGUUAAGGCGGUGGCCUGCUAAGCCGUUGGGUUCUGCCCGCGCAGGUUCGAAUCCUGCCGUUGUCG